GACGAACGCUGGCGGCGUGCUUAACACAUGCAAGUCGAACGGAAAGGCCCUGCUUUUGUGGGGUGCUCGAGUGGCGAACGGGUGAGUAACACGUGGGUAACCUGCCCUUGACUUUGGGAUAACUUCAGGAAACUGGGGCUAAUACCGGAUAGGAGCUCCUGCUGCAUGGUGGGGGUUGGAAAGUUUCGGCGGUUGGGGAUGGACUCGCGGCUUAUCAGCUUGUUGGUGGGGUAGUGGCUUACCGAGGCUUUGACGGGUAGCCGGCCUGAGAGGGUGACCGGCCACAUUGGGACUGAGAUACGGCCCAGACUCCUACGGGAGGCAGCAGUGGGGAAUAUUGCACAAUGGGCGGAAGCCUGAUGCAGCAACGCCGCGUGCGGGAUGACGGCCUUCGGGUUGUAAACCGCUUUCGCCUGUGACGAAGCGUGAGUGACGGUAAUGGGUAAAGAAGCACCGGCUAACUACGUG
rnacentral:rRNA from 1 species